GGGCGAUAGCUCAGUGGCAGAGCACCUCUUCUGCAUGCAGAAGGUUCCAGGUUCAAUCCCUGGCAUCUUCA